GUCCACGCCGUAAACUAUGGGUGCUAGCCGUCGGAUAGCUUGCUAUUCGGUGGCGCAGCUAACGCAUUAAGCACCCCGCCUGUGGAGUACGGCCGCAAGGUUAAAACUCAAAGGAAUUGACGGGGGCCCGCACAAGCGGUGGAGCAUGUGGUUUAAUUCGACGCAACGCGAAGAACCUUACCAGCUCUUGACAUUUACUGAUCGUUUCCAGAGAUGGAUUCAUCCCAGCAAUGGGCAGUAGGACAGGUGCUGCAUGGCUGUCGU
rnacentral:rRNA from 1 species